rnacentral:lncRNA from 1 species
UUGAAUGAUCCAGUGGGCACUCUGUAUUCCUUCAUAAACUGUGUGGUGAAUGUGCGUGUGUGUAUGUAUGUAUAUGCACGUGUUUAUGUGUUUUCUGGGGUUAAUUUCCUUAAAAUAAAAAGGCAACUGUCAAGACUAAAGCUAUAAUAAUUUUUAUGAAUCUUAGAAAAUGUUGAAUUUUUAGUGAUUCCAGAAAUUGAUCUCUAUCGAUGAAACUGCUUUCUCAAAUACGUCAGCAAUGGGAUUCAGGCUUUGCUUACAAUGUGAAGGAAGUUCUUAGUCUCAUUUGCACAAAGAAGGAAGGAGGGCUAAAGAUAAAAAGAACUCAUAGUCUUUUCCAUAGUUUUGGGUCAUGUUCACUGUAAAAAAAAAUCACAAGAUGCCAUUUUUACACAGCCUUUUUAAUCUACACAUACGGCAAGCUAAUAAUUCCAAAAAAAUAAUUUCUUUCCUUUGUAGCCAUUUAAAACUAACAGCUAGAAAUAUUUCUUCUUCCAAUUAUUAAAAAUAAGCUGUUUCUGAGUCGGUGCUGACUACAUUUACUGAUUGAAGCAGCCAACUCCAAAUAUACCAUCUUUUAGUAUUGACACUUAAAAUAAAACUUCUCCCCAGAAAAAGAGUUCUAUAAAUGAUGGCUGUAGAAAUAGGCACUGUCCAGGCAGUUGUUUUGUGGAAGUAGUGUUGUUAUUUUCUGGUGUUUUCCAAGUCAUCUCAGAUGGUGCGUGAAAAUGAGAUGCCAAAGAAGGCUUAAAAAAGAUACCCUGCACCAGCUUCAGAAUGUAAGCAAAUCUUUCAUUCCAGCGCUUAAAAGUUUUGAGAAAGCUAAUCUAAAGUUAAAUGUUUACUAGCAUCUCUCCGAUUAUAUUUUAGAAACUACUGCACAAAAAUAAAACAAAUUUCUUAUUUUCUCUGGGUUGAAAAGUGCACAUAAAAUGGAAAAUGCUUUUUAUACCACUAUUUCCAGCAGGGAUUUUAUUUUCAUUUGUCAUUUGCCAGCCUGGGGUAUGUUGGGAGAAGGAACAAUUGAUUUUUGAAAAGGUGCAUUUGUGUGAAAACCAAAAAUUGUGUUCAACAAAUACUACUACUAACCCAUAUGUGGAUAUAUGUGUUUUAUACAUGAGUAAAAAAAAAAAAAAAAACAUACAUAUAUGUAUGGCAUAUAUAUAUAUAUAUAUAUAUAUAUAUAUGCUAUAGAAAUGCCAUCAAGUUACCAGUUUACUUCUAAAUGUAACUGCUUAAUAUAAAAUAUGCAUCUUUUUGUAGUACCUAAUUCUUGCAAUUCAGUGUAUUUCCUGGCGAGAGGCAGAGAUGAACAACCCUGGACAGUUACCACAUAUGGCUCUUAUGAGACAAAAUGACCUACGAAUCAAGCAUUUUGUUCCACGGUCUCUACUGUUAGCUGUAUGUCUCAGAAACAGCUUCUUUCUCAAGAGAGAACAAGAGGGAUAAUGCUGGAUCUAAAGGCAUCAUCUGAAGAAGACAAAGAUAUCAACAAUCGCAACUAUUUGGCUUUCUGUCCAUCACUGAGACUUUUCAUAAUCUUCCCUUCAUAAAUAGGAUCUCUUGAUCAGAACAGAAAAGUUGAGUCUUAAAUUUCCUGUAUUUAUUUCUGACUGAUACUGAGGGAAGUGCAAAUUUGGUUGCUAUGAUUAAACUCCUUGAUUGUUCUUAA